UCAAAAUCCUAGUCACCUCUCUCUCUCUUUCUCUCUCUAUCUCCUCGGUCCUCUGCUGCAGUUCGGCCUUCCGUUGCUCGUGAAUCUCCGAUUCUCAGGUUGCUGACACAUCAGAGUUAUUGGAUGGAUGGAAGUGAAGGUUGAAUCAAAAUAAUUCCUUUUCAAUAUAAAUGUUCUACCAUUUUCCAUCAACACACUAGAGUUAUACGAUAUAGAAUCAAGUCGCUGCGCAAUCUUACAAAAAUCUCAUGAAUCAUGUGAAAUUACACUAGAGGUUUUCUGAUCGGAAUGAGGAUCCAGUUAAAUGUUCAAUAGCUAUUUCCCCCUCCACUGCUGGUGGGCCAUGCGCUAAUGGUUUGCCCUCCAUUAAAUGGGUCAGAACCUGUUGGUUUGGGGUUGUGUUUUAGAACAGCUAUGCUCAUUCGAAUUGAUUUCUACUUGAUGAAGAAUUUAUGUGACGACACUAUGGGAUGCACCUUGAAUGAAAUGCACAUUGUCAUCGGUUUACCCACACUAUGGGAUGCACCUUGAACUCAUCCAUGCAUACAUAAAGGUCCAUUCACUUAUAGGAAACUGCCGCAUCUCAUUUGGAUAGCAUUGAUUAGAGAAGAAUGAAUCCUUUGCAAUCUAUCAUCUAUUGGGUUAUACACAUCACUACAAGAAAUUCACUUUUGUUGGCUGGCUUUAAUUAUUAUCUUUUGAAUCAUAAACUAAUGUCUACCAGUUGUGUGGCCCAUUGUCUAAUAAUCUUCAGCAAAUGAAUUAGCUGUGAUCAUCUGCAGUACAUGAGCCCACUGGAUGAACAUGUACUCAAUGUACAGUGGGAGACUACAACUUUGGGUAGUUUGAUGAACUACUAAACUUGCAUCCUCUUAAUUAUCAGUUUAUCACUGCAGAUUUCAACAUCAAAAGCAUUCCAAUUCAGUCUUUCUUCAUUUGAAUCUCUUACCUACAGAAAGCGAGAGAUGGGUCUUGAUUACAUUUGCAUUUCAUGGGCUUUUCAGGAGUGAGGGCAUUCUGCAUGGCAGAUUUCUUUGUAGCAGAUGUUGGUGACUGAAUUUUGUUCUUCUUUUAACUAUCAUCUCUUUACAAAAUAUAGAUUCUAUCUUAUUGGUUGCUUGAAAUGCUUUUCAGUCAUGGGUUCCACUUGAGUAUCAUGCUAUCGACAGCUUACCAUGUUAUGUUGAAUGAGCAACAGCUUACCAUGUUCUAGCUCUUUGCUUUUGGAUAAUGUUUGUGUAUAAACCUUUACGAAGGGCUUCGUGUCCAGAAAUGCGAUGCCCUGGUACUGACUAGCUCCUGUAUGUAAAAUGCUGCAAAACAUGGGAAAUUUUCAUUAUAAUGAUGAUGAUUAUGAUGAUUUAUUUGCUAUUGCACCUGGUUAUGGCAAUUGGUUUGGGUGUUUAUAUAGAAAGUAAUGCGAGAUUCAUUUUUGAUGAGUUUUGUUGAUAAUAAAGCCGUGGUUUUUCCAAUGGAUACAUAUUUUUCAUUGAACAGGUCAAGAAAACGGUUUACACUAUGUUGCAUGUUGGUGAUGUGAUUCGAUUGGGCUAGUAGCUGCCACCCCACAUUGAAUUACUAGUUGCAGCGGUCACACUAAUCAAUGAACCUGACAGCAUAUAUGGGAUCAUCCAAUCACACAAGGUGAAUUGUUUUAUCAAUAGUUGCAUGAAUUUUGUUUUCGUUUUGUACUGCCACCCCACAUUAUUUCUUCAAAAUGUUAGCAAGUAUGAACAGCUAGGAGGCAGGAGCAGGAGCACAAAUCAAAAACACAAUUCAAAGUGAUAGUGGCACCUGGGUAGAAAAUUUUGCA